rnacentral:rRNA from 1 species
CCUGGAUUAGUGGCGAACGGGUGAGUAACACGUGAGUAACCUGCCCUUAACUCUGGGAUAAGCCUGGGAAACUGGGUCUAAUACCGGAUAUGACUCCUCAUCGCAUGGUGGGGGGUGGAAAGCUUUUGUGGUUUUGGAUGVACUCGCGGCCUAUCAGCUUGUUGGUGGGGUAAUGGCCUACACAAGGCGACGACGGGUAGCCGGCCUAGAGAGGGUGACCGGCCACACUGGGACUGAGACACGGCCCAGACUCUACGGGAGGCAGCAGUGGGGAAUAUUGCACAAUGGGCGGAAGCCUGAUGCAGCGACGCCGCGUGAGUGAUGAAGGCUUCGGGUCGUAAAGCUCUGUCGGAGGGAACGAAUGCUCACGGGGUUAACAGCCUCGGGAAGUGACGGUACCCUCAAAGGAAGCACCGGCUAACUCUGUGCCAGCAGCCGCGGUAAU